rnacentral:snRNA from 1 species
AUCACUUCUUGGCCUUUUGUCUAAGAUCAAGUGUAUCAUUGUAUUUGUCCUUUUAUCA